rnacentral:rRNA from 1 species
CCUACGUGAGGCAGCAGUGAGGAAUAUUGGUCAAUGGACGAGAGUCUGAACCAGCCAAGUAGCGUGAAGGAUGACUGCCCUAUGGGUUGUAAACUUCUUUUAUAAAGGAAUAAAACGAGGCACGGGUGCCUUUUUGCAUGUACUUUAUGAAUAAGGAUCGGCUAACUCCGUGCCAGCAGCCGCGGUAAUACGGAGGAUCCGAGCGUUAUCCGGAGUUAUUGGGUUUAAAGGGAGCGUAGAUGGGUUUGUAAGUCAGUUGUGAAGGUUUGGGGCUCAACCGUAAAAUUUCAAUUGAUACUGGCAGUCUUGAGUACAGUUGAGGUAGGCGGAAUUCGUGGUGUAGCGGUGAAAUGCUUAGAUAUCACGAAGAACCCCGAUUGCGAAGGCAGCUUACUAAACUGCCACUGACAUUGAUGCUCGAAAGUGUGGGUAUCAAACAGGAUUAGAUACCCGGGUAGUC